GCCGGGGUGGUGGAAUUGGCAGACACGCCAGGUUAAGGACCUGGUGGGCAAUAGCCUGUGCGGGUUCAAGUCCCGCCCCCGGUACCA
rnacentral:tRNA from 1 species